AGANUGGAUAACACCUGGAAACAGAUGCUAAUACCGGAUAACAACAGAUGAUGCCUAUCAACUGUUUAAAAGAUGGUUCUGCUAUCACUCUUGGAUGGACCUGCGGUGCAUUAGCUAGUUGGUAGGGUAACGGCCUACCAAGGCGAUGAUGCAUAGCCGAGUUGAGAGACUGAUCGGCCACAUUGGGACUGAGACACGGCCCAAACUCCUACGGGAGGCAGCAGCA
rnacentral:rRNA from 1 species